UCUUGUCAAGUGUUACCAGAAAUUGUCUAAUCAAUUGAGGUAACAUUAAGUUUUAAAACCUUACGAGGGGGUACCUCGGAAGUGUGAACUUCAAGUCAUAGAUUAUAGCCAAAUGCCUCGUCAUCUAAUUAGUGACGCGCAUGAAUGGA
rnacentral:rRNA from 1 species